CCUACGGGAGGCUGCAGUAGGGAAUCUUCCACAAUGGGCGAAAGCCUGAUGGAGCAACGCCGCGUGGGUGAAGAAGGUCUUCGGAUCGUAACAUCCUGUUGUUAGAGAAGAAAGUGCGUGAGAGUAACUGUUCACGUUUCGACGGUAUCUAACCAGAAAGCCAAGGCUAACUACGUGCCAGCAGCCGCGGUAAUACGUAGGUGGCAAGCGUUAUCCGGAUUUAUUGGGCGUAAAGGGAACGCAGGCGGUCUAUUAAGUCUGAUGUGAAAGCCUUCGGCUUAACCGGAGUAGUGCAUUGGAAACUGGUAGACUUGAGUUCAGAAGAGGAGAGUGGAACUCCAUGUGUAGCGGUGAAAUGCGUAGAUAUAUGGAAGAACACCAGUGGCGAAAGCGGCUCUCUGGGCUGUAACUGACGCUGAGGUUCGAAAGCGUGGGUAGCAAACAGGAUUAGAUACCCCGGUAGUC
rnacentral:rRNA from 1 species